rnacentral:rRNA from 1 species
UACGAAGGGAGCUAGCGUUGUUCGGAAUCACUGGGCGUAAAGCGCACGUAGGCGGAUGUGUCAGUCAGGGGUGAAAUCCCGGAGCUCAACUUCGGAACUGCCUUUGAUACAGCACGUCUUGAGUCCGAUAGAGGUGGGUGGAAUUCCUAGUGUAGAGGUGAAAUUCGUAGAUAUUAGGAAGAACACCGGUGGCGAAGGCGGCCCACUGGAUCGGUACUGACGCUGAUGCACGAAGGCCAGGGGAGCAAACGGG